rnacentral:lncRNA from 1 species
UUUUUUUCUCUUCAGGAUGCAGCCGUAAACCAAGAGUGCCAAUAAUUGAGAGACGCUACACCUAGGAAGGAAUUCUACAUGGUUAGAAGAACGGGUUUGGACGUCAAGGUAUGGCUGAAAAUCAUGAGGGAGGCACACACAGUGAGAGUCAAAGGAGGGAUUAGUAAAGCAAAGAGAUGGGUCAAUAAGUUAUUUUCUGCAUGUGUAGGAUUUUUGCCUACAUGUUCCUAAGUAUGUAGCCAUCGUAAAUGUCUUGUUUACAUAUGGCAAAUGAAGAUAACUGGUGCCCAUUUUUCACACCAUCUACUCGGAUAAGGAGAGGAGAAACAACAAUGCAUUUUGUUGCAUCCAUCACCGGACCCUGACUCACCCUCAGCCUUCUGCUAAUCUCGAGCAACUUUUUUUGCUUCAAUCACCGGACCUGAUGAAACAGCACCAAAAACCUUGUGCUAAUCAUGUACUGUCGCUCACCUUCAUUAGGGACUUGAAGCUUCAGUAUCUCGUCUUCACCCGACUGGUUUAUUAGUUGAGCUGAACCGGUCCUCACCUGUACAUGUGUAGAUUCACCACAAGGCAAUAUAAUCAAACAUCCCUUACGCGCAUUUCAAAAAAGAAAAUCCCUUACGUGGCCUAAACAGCAUUCUCAGUUAUUUGAUCCAUUCCGUGGUGCGAAAUCUAUCAUUGGCUAAACAAUCAUCUGGUUAUGCUUUGCUCUCACCCAAACUAUAAACCAACACAAAAUUAUUUGCGAGGCGUUUCCCAAUCGCAUAGAAAAUUCACAAAUCAAAAAGGUAAUGUGGUAAAAAAAUACUUAUAUCUCUGUGUAGCCUAGACCAGGUCAGUCAAUGCGCACAUGUAUGCACGCGUGUUCGGUAGCACUCUCUAUCACGGUACGUUGCGGCUGCUCUACUGCAACCUGCCCAACUUGUAGAAAGCUUUAUAGUAAUGGAUUGGAAAGACAGUCAUCCAACAACCGCUGGCUGGUAUCAUUUUACUAUCCGACGAUGAUUCCGGCAGCCGCGUUGACGGUGUUGCUCCUGCAGCUCUGCCUCCCAAUGGCGGCGGCUCAGGUUACCCCAGGCGCAGGGACGCCGCCGCCGCGCUGCCCGACCAGCUGCGGCGGCGUGAAAGUGCCGUACCCAUUCGGCAUCGGGAACGGAUGCCACCGGCCAGGAUUCAACCUCACCUGUGACCGGACGCGCGGCAGAGAGCCGCGGUUGCUCGUCGGCAGCGACCUCCAGGUCGUGGAGAUCUCUCUGGCCAACUCCACGGUGAGAAUCUUGGACAGGGCCGGCCAGGUCAAGCUCACCUUCUCCGAGGGCCUCGAUGGCAACGGGACAUGGGGCGGCCUCGGCGCCGGCGGCCCUUACGUGCUCUCGGAGAUGCGCAACCACUUCGUCGUUACGGGGUGCAACGUGCAGGCCACGCUGGUCGGGAACGGCGGGGUCGUAGGCUGCUGCUCCUCCUUCUGCUCCAUCAACGACAAGUGGACGGGCGUCGUGACGAGCUCCGCUGGCUACGGCGGCGCCGCCUGCUCUGGCAUCGGCUGCUGCGAGACGCCCAUCCCCAUAGGCCGCCCUUCCUACGACGUGGAGAUGAGGUCGCUGGAUGCGAGCAACGAGUACGCCGACAGGCUGCCCAUCGCGGUGCGCAUCGCCGAGAGAGGGUGGUUCGAAGGCGCCUCCACCACGCUCCUCAACGACUCAACCGGGUACUCGCCCUCCCGCCAGCCGGCUGUGCCCGUCGUCCUCGACUUUGCGGUGGAUUCCAAGCCGGUGGUGCUGCCAGGGGUGGCAACGUCGGGCUGCCCUGUGGACGCACGAAGGAGCGCGUGCCAGAGCAGCCAUGCUUCCUGCCAUAACGUCUCCGGCAUGUACCGCAGCGGCUACGUGUGCCGGUGCCUAGACGGGUACCAAGGCAACCCAUACCUCACAGGCGGAUGCCAAGACAUCGAUGAGUGCGCGCUUCCGGGCAUGUGCUUCGGUGAGUGCACCAACACGGCCGGAGGACACCUAUGCCGGUGCCCGCGUGGCGCCCAAGGUGACCCGCUCAUAAGAAAUGGCUGCAUAAAAUCUUCUCUAGGUGAGCACCAAAACCAAUAAUACAUGCAGAUCGGAGCACAGUUCAUGCUCCGUUUUAGAUGUCAGAGACUCUUCCUUCAUUACAAAGACACAUUUUCUGUGCACAUUCUUCAGGUUUAAGUGUGGGCAUAGGAGUUGGCAGUGGGGCCAGCCUUCUACUCAUGGUACUUGGUGCUAUUUUGGUGUCCCGAAAGAUGAAGCAACGAAGGGCAGAAAUGCUCAAGAAGAGAUUCUUCAGGCAAAAUCGGGGGCAUCUGUUGCAACAAUUGGUGUCUCAGAAGGCGGACAUUGCCGAGAGGAUGAUCGUCCCCUUGGUGGAACUACAAAAGGCCACAAACAGUUUCGACAAAGCUCGUGAGAUCGGUGGAGGAGGGCACGGAACGGUUUACAAAGGCAUCAUGUCAGACCUGCAUGUCGUGGCGAUCAAGAAGUCCAAGGUCGCGAUUCAGAGGGAGAUUGACGAGUUCAUAAAUGAGGUGGCCAUCCUCUCGCAGAUCAACCACCGAAACGUGGUGAAGCUCUUUGGGUGCUGCCUUGAGACGGAGGUGCCGCUGCUGGUGUACGAGUUCAUCUCCAAUGGGACCCUCUACCAUCAUCUUCAUGUCCAGGAACCAGCGCCAUCCCUAACAUGGGAAGAUAGGCUAAGGAUCGCAACCGAAACUGCGAGAGCUCUCGGCUACCUUCACUCGGCGGUGUCCUUUCCUAUAGUCCACAGGGAUAUCAAGUCCCAAAACAUUCUGUUAGAUGGCAGUCUCAUAGCAAAGGUGUCAGACUUUGGAGCUUCGAGGUGCAUUCAAGUCGAUCAAACAGAGACCGCAACCGCUAUCCAAGGGACAUUUGGGUACCUGGACCCAUUGUACUUCUACUCGGGACAGCUCACCGAGAAGAGCGACGUUUACAGCUUCGGCGUCCUCCUCAUGGAGCUUCUCACUAGGAAAAAACCAUGCUCAUAUCGGUCAUCCGAGGAGGAAGCCCUUGUCACAUACUUUGCCGCUUCGCUAGCAGCAGACAAGCUGGUUCGCGUGCUAGAUCCUCAGGUCGUGAAAGAAGGCGGCAAGGAGGUUGAAGAAGUAGCUGUGUUGGCAGUGGCAUGUGUGAGGAUUGAAGUAGACCAGCGGCCAACCAUGAGGCAAGUGGAGAUGACACUUGAGAACCUUGGGGGCUCGCAUGAUAGCUUUGUAAUGCAUGACCUGGAUGUGCCCAAGUAUCCAAUGAUUGAGGGUACGAACAUGGAGGAAACAAGCCAGCAGUAUAGCUAUGAAGCAGAGUAUUUGUUGUCAUCAAGGUACCCCCGGUAGUCAAUAUAUUUCUUGUGUGAUCAGUUUAAUUUGACAAUUAAUGAUUCCUUCUGUAAUUGGAUAUAAAGAGGGAUAUAAUGGUUUUUGUGGUCUAUGUAAUAAUUUCUGAAGGAAGCAAAUAGGUGUCCAUACCUUUUGGAGCUGCGUAGUUUUGCUCUGUCUUAAACUCAUUUCUUUUCUUACUGAUCUGACAAACAAGAGAACUUGCAUUAUUGAAACAGAAAUGCAAGCGUUAAAAAAACAAAGAUGGAACGAUACUUUCAAAAAAAAUUACCACCAAAGAUAAUAUACCUAUAAAUCUAUUAAUUAACACAACAAAAGUAGGCAUUCUCCCCCCAGUAAUAGUAUAAAAUUACAGUUUAGAGAUGAUCACAGUUUCGAAUAUAAGACAUUUCGAUCGCGUUAGGAAUGUUUCAACAACAAUUAGAGGCGUACAUGGAUGCAAAUUCACCAUCGAAUACUUCUCUUAUGCACCUCUCUAUAUAACUCUUGGUUUUUGACUGCACCUUUACCACGAUGCACCAGCACACCAAUUUUCCUUUCUCACCACACCAAUGCAUUGUCGUAGUUGGUUAAUCAUUUACUGAGGCAUUGCCAACAGUGCUACCCCAGUAGUAAUUGCUUCUAUUGCAGAGUUCCAUCCGCACGGAG